GUUACAAUAAGUUGCAUAUUAUGACUUUCUAAAAUAAUAUCUUAGCUAGAUUAUCGUUUAAUUUUUAAUAUAAUUGGUAAUUAUUUUAUUAUUUAAUAUAAAUAGUUAAUAAUAUAUAAUUGAUCAAUAUAUUUAUAUUAUAUUACAUAUAUUACUUGUCAAACUAUCGAACAUAUCGAAUUCUCUCUUGAUUUCUAUUUCGAUAAUCGAAAUAAUGGCGCGAAGCGUCAUUGUAGUGUCGUUAAUUGUGGUGUUAAUACUCAUCUUUUUUUCUCGAGAUUAUACAGAUUAUUGGCUACUUGCUGGAAUAACUUUGAAGGCGGGAAAAAUUUCAAUAUGGACGCUAUGAUAUUCAUUUUCUAUGGAGAUGGAAAAUUUGGAUUGAAAAUUUUACUGCGCGCAAUGCAGUCAAUAGAGUCAGUGUUUGUUUCGAAAUAGUAUUUUCAAUAUUUUUUAGAGCACAACUGCUCUAAUUCAAUUUAUUUAUAAUAACCAUUCGCGAAAUUAGAAGCAGUGUUUUUUCGUGGACUAUAAUUUAAACGCGCCAAUAGUCUUUUAUUUAUUUAUUUUUUUAAAUAUUCGUUUUCGAUACAGAGUAGAAUCAGUGCUUCUUUCAAGAGCACAAUGUGAUCAUCCAUCACGCCAAGAGUUUUCAUCCUCCUACUUGCUCAGCUUCUCAACGACUUCUCAUGGGUUACUACAACAUCCAUGGCAAUGCAGAUCCUUCGCAUCGAACGGUGAGUCGCAUGCAUUUUGAUUCCUCCAGUCACUCAAUCAUGUCGUAGGACGAAAGGUCCGAAACGACACGAGUGAUUGGUUGUAUACGUAGAAUUUUGUACGAGCACAGUGACCACGGGUAUUCAUUAUACCCGUGAAUAGUAACAUUUUCUUUUUACGUAUUUUAUUUAUUAGUUCAGGCUAGGUUUUCUUGUGCAUCGCGUUUUUGAAUAGUAAUUAUCAAUACCAAUGUUCUAUCGAUAAUAAUAAAUGACACAAAUUGAAAGAAAUCGAUGACAAAUUUUUUAUCGAUAUUCGCAGAAUCAAAUAUUUAUGAGAAUAUAUUCAUUUUAAUUAAUAAUAAACGAUUGAAAAUGACAAAAUGAACAUCAUCCGACUUCGUUGCAAUAAUAAAUUAUUUUUAAUUUCAUUUUUCACGAUAAUAUAUCACGCGAUUUAAUUAUUGGAUUUUUAAAAUACUAAAAAUAGAACUUUAUUCCUUUCGUUCAAGAAUAUAUGAAAUUUUAUGCGCAAGAAGACAUUUCGCGACAGGCAGAUUUCGGAAUCAAAGUAACAAGUUUUGAACAUUAUUUUUGUAUUUUUCGAAUAUAUACUUUGAUCAAGGAAUCGCCUGAGAUUUAUUUCCAUUAAUAAUUUAAUUAGAUUCACUAUUUAAAUCUUAAUAUUCAUAUUGUUCGUUGAUAUUUUUAUUUGUUUAAUAUUUUUUAUUAUUGAAAAUUCAUCAAAGUAGAGUUUGUUUAAAGCUUAUAAAACAAAAGUACAUAAAUUAAAGAAUAUUAGCCCGUUAGAAAAAAGAUUCAUUAAUAUUUUUUUAGCUCAGGAUUUUCAGGUUUAACCUCUUCCGUGUCCAUUGCCAGGAUCUCACUCACGUGCUCAGGUGCUACUUGGGUGAGAGAGAGGCAAUGGGUACGAUGAUUUUAGUUUAUAAGUUUCUAACAAUUUCUCAGCGACUGACGAUGCGUUAGUGUAUCGUGCGCGACGUAUUUUCCACAUUGUGUAUGCGUGUGGUUAGGCUGUGGAAUUGCGUCGUUUCAAACACUAAUCUAUUCACAAUUAUUAAUCAUUAUUAUAAUAUAACAUUUACGAUAAUAAUAAUUUUAGCCUUAACCUUAUUAUUUCACGUUAUAAUAAUGAUAUUAAAAUUUAUACCAUUUAUCCUGAUUAACAGGAUCAUUUCUUUAGGAGACACGUAUAUUCUUUCGAUUUUAAAUAUUCGCAAUUGAGACGCAAUGGUCGCUAACCGUCGUCAGUCGAUUUCAGGAAAAUGGUACGUAAAGUUAGAGUGUGAGAGACGAGUGCCAAGCUCGGGUGUCGGAGGCGUCCCGGGGCGCUUUCCCUAGUGUAGGCUUUUGCGCCCGAGUAUUAUGCGUGAGAAUCGUUGGAACGAAUGUGUUGGUGUGCCUGCUUUGCCAAUUUUUAAAUAUAGGGUUAGGCAGGAUAGGUAGCAUACUUUCUGGUGCGAAUGUUAAUGGAUAAGUAGGUAGGGCCGGGCAGGUUGUCGCAGUCUCCGCUCGGGUAGGCGCGUUUUCGCGCGGCAACCUGUUUCCGGAAAUACAAUUUGAAAAGUGGAGGAUGCAGCUGGAGAAGAGCGAAGCGCGUCGCUUCUCUCUGGCUUUGUCCAUCGACUUUUCGAAUUGCGCGGUCGCGGUCGCGAUUUCUUCUCGAAACGAACGUCGCGCUCGAGAUUCCUCGGCUUAGCUUCCGCGAUUUAGUCUUUUUUCUUUCUCUUUUUUCUUGAUUCGCGAGCAGGGAAUCUCGAGCCUAGAUUUAAGUUUCAGCGGGCAUCGCGCCCGAAGGAGGAAGACCGAAGAGGCCCGACAAAGUGUCACGAAGAGGGCUGCAACGAAUGGCUCCUCAUUUUUUGGAUCUCGUUUCUCGAGUCCAAAGAAUGGGAAGUCAUUGUUACUACCUCGUCACUGUGCUCGUUUUAGCAAUACGUAGUGUGUGUUUUUGUAUCGUCUGGCCGACGCAUGCGGGCCCAUCGUGUAAUUUUAAUGAGCAAGUCGCGAUUUUUGAAUUAGCGUUGCGUGGUAAAAUAUUACGCGAUUGUCUUUAAACAUUAAUCGGUAUAAUUUUUUUAUUUAAAAUUUUAUUGCAAAAAUAUUAGUUUUCGUUUAAUUUUUUAAUAAUAGCUUUGAAUACGUACAGUAGUAAUCAUAAAUUUGUUAAAUUAAAAAUUAAUAUUAUUUUCUUUUGCGUUGAUGAGUAAACGCGUUUUUGAAUUAGCGUUGCGUAUACAAUUGCUCAAUGUCCUUCCACAAUCACUGUGGAAGAUAUUCCUGAAUCAUUGGACGCAGUGAAAGAGCUGCGCAAGAAUGGUUGUAUAACGGCUCCAAUGAAUCCGUAAUAAUAACCACUUAUCUAAGGAUAUAUGCUGUCGAAUCUUCAUUUUUUUCUUUUUUUUUCGUUGAUUAAGAAAUACAUUACAAAUAUAUUGGAGCGGUUUGUUUUAUAAAUUUAGUAUAUUAGUGUUGCGAAAGAGAAAAGAUCCACUCACGGUUUGUUCGGGUUUAUCGAGUGGAUGAAUUUGAUAGCCCUUCUGGCUAUUUUUUCUUCUUUUCAGCAUCUUAAACGAAGUAUUUGUUAUUGAAAAUAUUAUUAAAGUAAUAUAACAAGAAUUUAUCGUGAUUCGCAUUAAUUAAAGUUAUAAAAUUUUUAGUUUUCAGAAUUAUAAAAAAUUAUGAACUACUUGACAGCAUUUUGAUGCUUUGUUCUUUUUUUUUUAAAUUAUUGAUUGUAAUUACUAAUUUGAUUAAGUUUGUUACAGGUGUGAAUUGAGGAAGAUGAAUAAAAUAAAAG